CUACGGGUUGCUCCAGUGAGGAAUAUUGCACAAUGGAGGAAACUCUGAUGCAGCAACGCCGCGUGGAGGAUGACGCAUUUCGGUGUGUAAACUCCUUUUAUAUGUCAAGAAAAUGACGGUAGCAUAUGAAUAAGCACCGGCUAACUCCGUGCCAGCAGCCGCGGUAAUACGGAGGGUGCAAGCGUUGCUCGGAAUCACUGGGCGUAAAGGACGCGUAGGCGGGUUGGAAAGUCAGGUGGGAAAUCCUACAGCUUAACUGUAGAACUGCACUUGAAACUUCUAAUCUAGAGUAUGGGAGGGGGAGAUGGAAUUAGUGGUGUAGGGGUAAAAUCCGUAGAUAUCACUAGGAAUACCUAAAGCGAAGGCGAUCUCCUGGAACAUUACUGACGCUAAGGCGUGAAAGCGUGGGGAGCAAACAGGAUUAGAUACCCUCGUAGUC
rnacentral:rRNA from 1 species